rnacentral:lncRNA from 1 species
UUGUUAAGCAAAUUGCUUCCUUUUUAAUAUUUUGUUUAGAAGCUUCAAAGGGCAAGAGAGUGUCACAUUACAAGUUCCAACUUUUAGCACCGAAAUAAAAAAAGGAAACUUUUGAAGAUCAAAGUGCAAAGAGAUGUAUUCUUCCUCAGAAAAAUGUCCAAGAGGGACCAAAGCAUCUUUAGCUUUUCGUUCAAAGCUUCUUUCUUUAGAAGAAGGAAUAUAAAGUGCAGAAUCACUCCAAAGGAAAGCUGUUUAAUCACGGUACCGAUUAUUCACAGAAUUGGCAUCAGGAUGAAACAGUCAAAAGACUCUUCAACCGUAAUUGUGAAAGCUGUUUGGUGUUGUUGUCUAAGCAUAUUUUAAAAACCUACAAAGAUCAAUUCUGAAUCAACACAGCAGCAAGAAAUUACAGAAAAUGGAUAGUACUUGAAUCACUAAGAAUCGAUCUUUGAAAGAAUGAGUGGAGUUACCAGUUAAUCAAUCUAACUCCUUGAACAAGCAGGGAGCUUUUACCGCUUCUGAGCUUUCCUUCUUCUGGACUGUGUCUUCUGCCAUUUCUUCCUAGGCACUAGUUUACUCUUGGGCUUCAACUUUAUCUCAGGUGUGAAUUUGAAGUUCGGAUCUCUCAUGCGAGUUUGUAUGUCCUUGAAAAACUGCAUGUUCAAUCUCUUGGGUCCACCUUUUCGUAGCUCUUCAUAUUCAGGUCCUGAGAUAAUGUUUUCAAACGCUCCAAUCAGAAUGUCAACAUCACUCAUUACUUCCCACACGUUUGUGUAACGACCGUCAGGCCCUUUGUUCAGUUUCUUCAGCGCGUUCUCAACAGCGAGCUUCCUCGCCUCUUUACCUGGUGAAAGCUCCUCAGGUUCGUUUUCAGAUUUCAACAGCUCUGAGAUUGUCCUGUACUUUGGUUUCUCUUCAAACUCAAACAACUUAUCCAAGUAUUUAUCAGAUGCUUCGUUCGGGUGUGGAUCUGUUGGAAUAUCGUCGUCAUCAUCACCUUCAUCGCCAGUCCACAACGUUUUCUCUUCAUCACUUCCAGACCAAACACUGUAUAAUUCAUCACUAUCAUCUGCAUCAAUUAGAUCAGAGCUGUCUUUAGCUUGUUGUCUAGCUUUCUUAACCUCUCUUUCAAGUCGGUUUCUUCCACUUUCUUGUUUUGUAUUAUCAUUGCUCUCGUCUUCACUUGCAGACCAUAGAGUGUCAUCGUCCUCCAUUUCUUUCUCCCAGGCUUUUCUAAAGCCAUCGUCACCUGGUUUCACAUUACCAAAUAGAUUGUAGUCUUUACUUUUUCCAUUUGCAUAUGAUCGCGUUGCUGCAAGACAUAGAAACAAGCUGAAAUGUAACUAAAGCCACAUAUAUAGAUAGAGCCG